ACCUACUCUGCCAUGCUGUUGCUCUGUCUCAGAAGAAACGAAGCCCUGCUACCUCCAGGCCUUCUUCUCUGGGCCACUUCCCCAGUUCCUGCUCUGAGGCUCCUUCCUGCUGUGUUCCGUCAGCCUGUCAGACCACUCUGGUUUCCUCACAGUGAGCCUGCUCCCCGGGCCGGAUCCUGAUGAAGUGAAUAAUCUACAAAGGCUGGCUCCUUGAAGCCUGAGGGUAAGUUUUAGAGGCACGUCCCUCUCCAAUGCAGAGAAGGCAUCAGUCAGGGUGGAGUAGAAAGUCCCUUGCUGUUUGUGUCAGGCUUUCAACUUCCUUUCCCUGUCACCUCGAGCAAAUCAGGUCUUCUACAGUCAACUUUCUUCCUACGUAAGGGAGAGUUACUUCUGCUACACUGAUUUCCAGGUGGGUCACAGGGAGCCGGUGAGGGAUGGGAUUGAGAGGCUGAUCAUGUCUAAGGGACUGUUUAUCAUUUCACUACUCAGCAUGUGCAAGUCACAUUGAAAACUUCCCCAGAAAGAGUAGCCUGACACUCAGCCGUCAGCCUUCUGGAGUUUUCUUAAAAGACAGCCACUGUGGACCCACUGGCUCAGAACACAGGGGAACAGCUCUGCUCACUAACAUGUGUAAACUGAAACCUCACUGACAUGAGGUGACUUCAGAAU
rnacentral:lncRNA from 1 species